GUGGCUGUGAGAGGGUUAACAAAGGACUCUGUUGUCUUGGCAGCCAUCUUGACAGGUGCAUGACAUGCACGGUGGCUCCAGGCUUGCUGCUUUUCUAGUGAAGAAAACUGCUUCCCUAUUUAAAUUUGGGGGGGAGGUGAUUUUUGAAGGGAAAAGGGUGAGGAAAAUAAGGUGUCCUUACAUCUCCAGGUUUAGAAACUUGUGAAUUAUCCACAAGACCAGUGUUGUUUUAGUAACAAACUUCUUAAUUGUUCUGGCUGUUUGAAUUUAAUGAAUACCAUAUUAUCUCAUGACUCUUAUGUAAUUGGGCAGCUGCUUUGGUGUUUUUUUGUGUUAAAGGAAACACUUAUAGUGCUAAGUUAACAAUUCUAGAAUUUAACCUUUUCUUUAUUCCAUUAAAAAAUGCUUCGAGUCUACAACCCUAACUUAAAUACUUUUUUUAAAACAUGUAAAUAAAUACUGGUUUGCUUGGACUGACUUGUCUUGUUUCUCAUCCAUGCCUUUUUAGUGAUGUUAGUUGCAGGGGGAAUUUGAUUUAAAUCACUGGUCAGGAUACCUUUGAUUAAAACGCUGUUUUCUGCAAGAAGUGCAUUCUUGUUGCUUGAUAUCCUCUAUUCAUUUAAGUUCUUGAAACAGUGUUUUUAAAGAGAGGUAAGGGCUUGAGUCUAUGCACACAAGCAUGCAGAGAGACAAUAGAGCUGAUGGGUAGGUAAUCAUGUCUUUUUCUGUUAUCUCUGUGCU